AUGGAGGUGGGCACAAUUUUGAUGAAUCGCUAUGAAAUUGGGAGGCUCUUAGGACAAGGGGACCUGGCAAAGGUAUAUUAUGCUCAGGAUCUCACAAGUGGACAAGGUGUUGCAAUAAAGAUGAUUGAUAAGGACAAGGUCUCAAGCGUUGAGCUGAUGGUGCGGAUAAAGAGGGAGAUUACAUUAAUGAAUCUGUUAAGACAUCCAAACCUCCUGAAACUUGUGGAGGUUACGGCUAGCAAGAUCAAGCUUUAUUUUGUUUUGGAGUAUCCUAAAGAUGGUGACCUUUACACCAAAAAUGUCAUUGGAAGGUUAAGUGAGGAUGCUGCGAGGAAGUACUUCCAUCAGUUGAUUGGUGCCGUGGAGUACUGCCAUAGCCAAGGUGUUUAUCAUCGCAACUUGAAUCUAGAAAACAUACUCCUGGACGAGAAUGGCAACCUAAAAAUCUCUGAUUUUGGUCUAAGUGUCCUACCUGGGUCCAGGGAAGAUGGCCUCUUCCAUUACCCCUGUGGAACUCCAGCUUAUGUUGCUCCCGAAGUGCUUAGCUGGAGAGGCUAUGACGGUGCGAAGGUUGACAUAUGGUCCUGCGGAGUAAUUCUAUUUGCGCUGGUGGCUGGUUACCUUCCUUUCCAAGGCACAGAUCGUACAGAUUUGUUUAAUAAAAUUUCCUUAGGGAAAUAUGAAUGCCCUUCUUGGAUUUCUGUUAAGCUGAAAGAUAUACAGUACUACGUAAGAUUCUUGAUCUAG
rnacentral:rRNA from 1 species